rnacentral:rRNA from 1 species
CCUACGGGUGGCUGCAGUGGGGAAUAUUGGACAAUGGGCGAAAGCCUGAUCCAGCCAUGCCGCGUGUGUGAAGAAGGCCUUCGGGUUGUAAAGCACUUUCAGUGGGGAAGAAAGCCUUGGGGCUAAUACCCUCGAGGAAGGACAUCACCCACAGAAGAAGCACCGGCUAACUCCGUGCCAGCAGCCGCGGUAAUACGGAGGGUGCGAGCGUUAAUCGGAAUUACUGGGCGUAAAGCGCGCGUAGGCGGUCUGAUAAGCCGGUUGUGAAAGCCCCGGGCUCAACCUGGGAACGGCAUCCGGAACUGUCAGGCUAGAGUGCAGGAGAGGAAGGUAGAAUUCCCGGUGUAGCGGUGAAAUGCGUAGAGAUCGGGAGGAAUACCAGUGGCGAAGGCGGCCUUCUGGACUGACACUGACGCUGAGGUGCGAAAGCGUGGGUAGCAAACAGGAUUAGAUACCCCAGUAGUU